rnacentral:rRNA from 1 species
AUGCAGCAGAGAGAGGCGAGGAGUGGUGAUCAGGGCGCAAGCCCAUGGCGCAGCGGCGAUCAGCGCCAGCCUAUGCGUCGUCAGGGAAAUACAACAAUGGUAGGUACUCCAAGGCGGCAACCUUUAACCAUGGAAGAACAUACUACCAACCAAGAUCCCAAUCGUGGGAACAACACAAUAGGCGUGAUUGCUCCAUCGAGGGGUGGGGUUCGGCAUCCUAGCAAUACAUCAGGCCAUCCUACCAACAUAGUCUCUACUCAUGAAAACAUCAUCACCAGGGGGAAUGCUCCAUCCUGGGGUGGAGGUGGCCAUCUGAGCACCCCCCAAGCUCAAGUUCAUCAUCCCGUUAUAGCUCCAUCCCUCCAAACCAACACAGUGGGGCUGAAUGCGCCAUCAUUGAGUGGAGGUGUGCGUUCUCUCAUCAUGCAGGGUCAUCAUACACACGUAGCAUCAACUCCUGAGAACAACACAACAACUAAUGCACCAACCGUUGGACCACAAGACAGAGCUAUCCAUGUGCCCGGUGAAAAUCCGCGUGGGGAGUUUUUCCAGCCAUGA